ensembl:lncRNA
UUAAAAUGAGUGAAAAGAAACCUUUAUUUUUUUCAAAGAUGUUACAAGGAUGACAUUUCAGUGAGAGUAUAACAGAUGACCAAAUAACUAGAAUCAUAAUCAAGCAAUUUCCAAGAAGAAAGAAACAUCACUUCACUCCAAAGUAAAACCCUGCAGAAGCAAAUAAUGAAAAUAAAUGAUACUAGGAUGACACCAGCUAUGGGGGGAGAAAGAGGACAAAUCUAGACUAUUUUGUGUCCUAAUUGAAGGUUCUUGGCAUUCCAAAAUCCCUGUAACCCAUGAGACACUCAAGAGUGGGGUUUUGUUUGAACGAUAUUUGAAGAUGAGUAAAGAUCAGUUACCAUUUGUAGUGGACCAAUAUUUAAUCUACUUGAACUCAUUUCAUACCCUAACCAUUUAGUUGUAUUGCAGCAGCAGUUUAUUUUCUCUUCAGGAGUUCCCCUUUUGAAACAUUAGGCUAAUUUCAUAAAGAUACAUGAAUGUUUAGUGAUGAAACCUGAUAAUUGAGGUGUACUAACGAACAGCACAUGCACAGGUUGUCAAAUAGGUAACGCUGUCAAAAAUAACACAUUUUCAAAAUGUAUUUGGAGGGAUGUGGUUAAUGUCUAGAAGAUAUGGAUAGGUACAAACACAUUUAGUCAGAAUGGGUAACAUCUUAAAAUGUCUUUCCACAGGUGUUCAUAACAGAAAAUGUUUAACCACAUUAGCAUACGACAAUGACUUCUGAAAAUCAUAGCCUAACACGACUCAGCAAAAUGACAUAAAAAUUGUCAGAUGACAGUAUCACACAUGGAAUGGAGGGUACCGUAAUGAAUCACGAGUGAUGGUUACAUACAAUUCAGAAUUAAAGAUUUCAGACCUAAAACUCAACACAGCAGGGAAGUGACAAGUAGGAUUAUCACAAAAUACUACUUUUACGUGAGAAAUUUUACCAUCAAUGAUACAAAUUACAGUGCCUUCAGAAAGUAAUCACAUUUUGUUGUGUUAGAGCCUGAAUUGAAAAUAUAUUAAAAUUGAGAUUGUGCCACUGGCCUACAUACAAUUCCCCAUAAUGUCAAAGUGGAUUUACUUAAUUUUUUAAAUACAAAAUAAUAAAAAAUGAAAAGCUGAAAUGUCCUGAGUAAACAAGUAUUCAACCCCUUUUUUACAGCAAGACUAAAUAAGUUCAGGAGUAAAAAUCACUGUGUGCAAUAAUAGUGUUUAUCAUCUCUGUACCCCACACAUACAGAUCAUUGUAAGGGCUCUCAGUCAAGCAUUGAAUUUCAAGCGCAGAUUCAACCAUAAAGACCAGGGGAGGUUUUCCAAUGCCUCGCAAAGAAGGGCAACUAUUGGUAGAUGGGUCAAAAAAUUAAAUAAGCAGAAAUAGAAUAUCCCUUUGAGCAUGGUGAAGUUAAUAAUUACACGCUUUGGAUGGUGUAUCAAUACACCCAGUCACUACAAAGAUGCAGGCGUCCUUCCUAACUCAGAUGCCGGAGAGUAAGGAAACCAUUCAGGGAUUUCAACGUGAGACCAAUGGUGACUUUAAAACAGUUAAGAGUUUAAUGGCUGUGAAAUCCAUCCUCAGUUCAACAUUGUAGUUACACACAAUACUAACCUAAAUGACAGUGUUUUUUUUUUUUUAAACCUGUACAGAAUUAAAAAUAUCACAAAACAUGCAUCCCGUUUGCAAUAAGGCACUAAAGUAAAACUGCAAAAAAGUGUGUUAAAGAAAUUAACUUUGUCCCGAAUACAAAGCGUUGUGUUUGGGGCAAAUCCAAUACAUUACUGAGUACCGCUCUCCAUAUGUUCAAGCAUGGUGGUGGCUGCGUUAUGUUAUGGGUAUGCUUGUCAUCAGCAAAGAUUAGGGAAGUUUUUUGGGGGAUAAUUUACAAUAUAGUUAAGAACAAGCAAAAUCAAAGAGGAAAACCUGGUUCAGUCUUCUUUCCAACAGACACUGGGAGACUAAUUCACCUUUCAGCAGGACAAUAACCUAAAAUACAAGGCCAAAUAUACACUGGGAUUUGCUUACCAAGAUGACAUUGAAUGUUUGACUUUGAAUCAGCUUAACAAUCUAUGACAAGACUUGAAAAUGGCUGUCUGUCAAGUUGGUUGUUGAUCAUUGCUAGAGGUUGAGAAUUUUAAAAGUAAUGUACAAUUCAAGUUAGAAAUAUUUAGGACUAAAACUAAAAACAUUGUAUUUGGGACACUAAACAUCAACUAAAUCUUGUAAUGAAUAAUGUGGAAUUUUAUCAAGUUGAGGAGACUAAACUGCUUGGAGUAACCCUGGAUUGUAAACUGUCAUAGUCAAAACAUGUUGAUGCAACGGUACCUAAGAUGGGGAGAUGUCUGUCUUCUUAACUAUCAACAAGGCAGGUCCUACAGACCCUAGUUGUGUCUCACCUGGACUACUGUCAAGUCGUGUGGUCAGGUGCCACAAAGAAGGAUUUACAAUUGGCUCAGAACAGUGCAGCAUGGGUGGCCCUUAAAUGUACACAGAGAGCUAACAAUAAUAUGCAUGUCAAUCUCUCAUGGAUCAAAGUUGGAAAGAUUUAGUCAAUCACUAUUUGUUUUUGUAAGAAGUAUUGACAUGCUGAAUGCACACCCAUGCAUAUCCCACAAGACAUGCAACCAGAGGUCUCUUCACAAUCCCAAAAUCCAGAACAGACUACACAGUAGUACAUAGAGCAAUGACUACAUGGAACUCUAUUCCACAUCAGGUAACUGAUGCAAGCAGUAGAAUCAGAUUUAAAAAACAGAAAAAUACACCUUAUGGAACAGUGGGGACUGUACACAUGGAUGUUGUAUUGUAGAUAUAUGGUAGUAGAGUAGUGGCCUGAGGGCACACACUUAAUGUGUUGUGAAAAGUGUUAUGAAAUGUUAUGUAAUAUUUUAAAUUGUAUAUUACUGUUUCUGGACCCCAGGAAGAGUAGCCUCUACCUUGGCAGGAACUGAUGGGGAUCCUUAAUAAAUACAAUAGAAAUACAACAAAAUGGAAUAAGAGGUAUGAAUACUUUCUGAAGGCACUGUGCAUCAAUGAUUCUCCAUGUGACAGGGUAGGUCUACUACAUGUUUGAAUAUUUAUGUAUUGGUAGUUUUAUCAAAAUUAGGACAUUCAAAAGGGGAAAGUAAAAUUUCAACUUCAACCGGAAAAAAGGGUUCUCACAAUCUACCAAAUACAUUGGGGGGGUGGGGGUAGGCUUGAAAACACAACCCUAGGCAACACAGUGACUAGGAUCUGGUUUAAGGUAUGGACUCUUGGCAUAAUGGAACUACGUCACUACUUUAUCCACUUAGAUAAAAUACAAAAAAGUAGCUAGAGAUCACAGAAGUUAUUUUUAAUGAGUGCAUUUAGCAAGUGGCUAGUUUGCAUAAACUACCUUCAAUAAAACCCCUGCAAAAGUUUUGCCUACAAACUUUAGUUUAGAAUCGCAACGUUCUGGCAUGUCUGCCUCGUUGUUUGUUGGGAGAGUCCCUGGAAAAUAUUUUUUCCCUUACACUACAUUACCAAAUGUAUGUGGACACCUGCUCAUCAUUCCAAAAAUCAUGAGCAUUAAUAUAGAGUUGGUCCCCCCCUUUGCUGCUAUAACAGCCUACUCUCUUCUGGAAAGGUUUCCUUGGAACAUUACUGCGGGUGGGGACUUGCUUCCAUUCAGCCACAAUAGCAUAGUGAGGUCCAGCACUGAUGUUGGGCGUUUAGGCCUGGCUCGCAGUUGGCAUUCCAAUUCAUCCCAAAGGUGUUCGAUGGGGUUGAGGUCAGGCCUCUGUGCAGGCCAGUCAAGUUCUUCCACACUGAUCGACAAACUAUUUCUGAAUGGACCUCGCUUUGUGCACGGGGGAAUUGUCAUGCUGUUGCCACGAAGUUGGAAGUCCAGAAUCAUCUAGAAUGUCAUUGUACUAAGGGGCCUAGUUGAAACCAUGAAAAACAGCCCAACCAUUAUUUUUCCUCUACCAAACUUUACAGUUGGCACUAUGCAUUGGGGCAGGUAGCUUUCUCCUGGCAUUCGCCAAACCCAGAUUCUUCCGUCGGACUGCCAGAUGGUGAAGCGUGAUUCAUCAUUCCAGAGAACGCAUUUCCACUACUCCAGAGUCCAAUGACGGCGAGCUUUACACCACUCCAGCCAACGCUUGGCAUUGCGCAUGGUGAUCUUAGGCUUGUGAGCGGUUGCUCGGCCAUGGAAACCCAUUUCAUUAAGCUCCCGAUGAACAGUUCGUGCACUGAUGUUGCUUCCAGGGGUAGUUUGGAACUAUGUGUUGCAACCGAGGACAGACUAAUUUUACAAGCUACGCCCUUCAGCACUCAGCGGUCCCGUUCUGUGAGCUUGUGUGGCCUACCACUUUGCGGCUGAGCCGUUGUUGCUCCUAGACGUUUCCACUUCACAAUAACAGCAUUUACAAUUGACUGGGGAAGCUCUAGCAGGGCAGGAAUUUGACAAACUGACUUGUUGGAAAGGUGGCAUCCUAUGACAGUGCCACAUUGAAAGUCACUUAGCAUUUCAGUAAGGUCAUACUAUUUCCAAUGUUUGUCUAUGGAGAUUGCAUGGCUGUGUACUCGAUUGUAUAUACCCAUCAGUAACAGAUGUGGCUGAAAUAGCCAAAUCCACUCAUUUGAAUCGGUGUCCACAUACUGCUGGAAAUAUAGUGUAGGUAGUGACAGUUCCUCUAUGCUAAAAGAGUCCAUCAUUGGGGCGUUCCUGUGCCCAGGCAUUGAUGGCAUUUAAAGUAUCAGCUAACCACAUAUGUUAUAGCAAUAUGUCAGUUAAUGACAUAGUUGAUGACAGGGCAUGCAACCACUGAUUGCACGUAUCAAUGUCUGACCAGGGGAACACGAGAAUUGAAACCAGACCCUAGUCACGUUCCCCUGCUCAGACAUAGCAUGUAUCAACCAUUGGUUGCAUGGCACAGCCUCGACUAUGUCGUCAGGGACCAGAUUGCUAUCUAUCUAUCUAUCUAUCUAUCUAUCUAUAUAUAACGAUCUGGCCUGCAUCAGCAAAGGAACGCACCCACUGGUUUGCCUAGGGUCAGGUUUGAGACUAGAUCUGUGGUGGGGGCUACACAAAUCUACACCAUAACCUUUCAUGGGCACUAAAUAUAAAUGUACCUACUGUGUCUACAACACCAACAUACAAAUAUUUAUUCUCAUCCUCUGCCACAUACUGACAGAAAUGCCUCCCUUCGGUCAACAAACUCAUCAAGGUAUGGUCAGAAAUUAUGUAUUUAUAUUUUUAAGUGAGUUCAUAACCUUCAUUCAGUUAUCAUUUUCACAUGGGCCAAUGACAGCCAGUACUGAAUACCUACAUUUAGCAGUUGCCAGAGGCUUCUAACCUUCCUCAGUAGUCAGGUCCAGACUUCCACUUGUGAAUACUGCGGAGUCUAAUCCCAGUAGUAUUCACACACUUCAUUACUAUAACCUCUCUGAACAUACAUUCUUGUUCCCUUGCAACACCUCUUAUGAGUUGUUGACCAACAAAGAAAAACAUGAUUUAAUUCAUAAUUUCAUGUUUAAACUUGGGUCUCUAGGGAUAACUUCUCUGCUUAAUGUGGAUUAAUCAAUUAGCCAUGUAGCCAUGCAAAUGAUAUGUGCAUUCUACAAGUGCUUUCUUUGUGGCAUUUCAUGUCUGUGAAGCUGUGACUAAUUUUAAAGUAAUAAUUUGGAGGUCAUUUUAAAGAGCAAGUGAUGACUGCUUUUUCGAUUACAAUAAAUUGGUUAUGGUAAUCUUUUUACUCUCCUUUUUGUACUACAGAUAGACUUAAGAAAAAAACUAAAACCUGUCUCGCAAACUACAGAUCUUUCAAGUCCACCACUUCAGAUCUCGAGACAAUAAUGUUUCCUUUAAUUGUUUCAAGAGCCAUUCCACCACUUAUCCUUCAGAAAGACCAGAGCGGAAAGCCAGUGAAAUUCACCAGCUUUCAAAACCUCUGCAACAACAGACCUCAUGUAGAAAACUUUCCAACUCAAAGUUGAAAAAGAUGAAUGGUCAGUAUUCUUCCGACUCCUGCACCAUUUGAUUCCGUUUGAGACGUUCAACAAGACCAUUCUUGGUCUGCCCAAAACCUCUCACCUCUCGCUCAAACAUGUUCAAAUGCAGAGCAUGAGCACGGAUCAACUUUGAGGUUAGAAAUUUUCCCAAAUCGACUGACUGCUUCAAGAGUUUCGGCCCCUUUUUCCCAUCGCUAGCUGGCAGGAGACGGUUUUGUAGAGUGAGGUUGGAGGGUUGUGUGAGAACUCUUCUCAGUCUCUCUGCUCCGAGAACAAUGUCCUCAGCCAACUAACUUGUGGUCCCUGGGGGAGAAGAGGUGGCAGGGAUGUGACUCCUGUGACCCCAUUGAGGAUCCAUGACCUUUCACCCCUCGACUUAUCAAAGGGCUUGUCGCUCCGACGCUGCUACCCCAACGUAUGCUGCUUCUCCUUUUCUCCGUGUGCGAGCAGCGCCUUCUCUCUCCCUCCUCCUCGCUCUUGUCCUGUCCAGCUCUACCCCCAUUUUUCUCUCACUCUUGUGAUUGGUUGGUUUCUCUCGGUCUCUCUCCUGUUGCUUUCACACAGUGGUGCUUCAGUUGUAGCAGUGGAAAACGGGUAUCCAUAUGUUCUUUUUUUGAUAUUACCCAGAUUAAAAUGGCGACGAACUAAGCUCAGCACAGGCCUAGCUCCUUUUCCCACAAC